AUGAUUCUGACCCGUUUCUGAGCAGUCACGUGGUACAUUCAUGCCACGCGCGUCACUGUCAGCCUCAAAAACACCUCAAACACGCACGUUCUUACCAUAGACUGUAUAUAAGAAUAGGUUCUUACCCUACAAAACCACGUCCGUCUGCAGACAUGCGCAGUGAGCCCAGCUCUGUCCAAACACCGGAUGUUAGCAAGCCUGUCUUCCGUUGGGAUUUUCAAAAUACGAUUAAAAUCUUUUUUUAAAA